rnacentral:rRNA from 1 species
GGCUAAACAUAUUACCGAAGCUGUGGAUUGUCCUUUGGACAAUGGUAGGAGAGCGUUCUAAGGGCGUUGAAGCAUGAUCGUAAGGACAUGUGGAGCGCUUAGAAGUGAGAAUGCCGGUGUGAGUAGCGAAAGACGGGUGAGAAUCCCGUCCACCGAUUGACUAAGGUUUCCAGAGGAAGGCUCGUCCGCUCUGGGUUAGUCGGGUCCUAAGCUGAGGCCGACAGGCGUAGGCGAUGGAUAACAGGUUGAUAUUCCUGUACCACCUAUAAUCGUUUUAAUCGAUGGGGGGACGCAGUAGGAUAGGCGAAGCGUGCGAUUGGAUUGCACGUCUAAGCAGUAAGGCUGAGUAUUAGGCAAAUCCGGUACUCGUUAAGGCUGAGCUGUGAUGGGGAGAAGACAUUGUGUCUUCGAGUCGUUGAUUUCACACUGCCGAGAAAAGCCUCUAGAUAGAAAAUAGGUGCCCGUACCGCAAACCGACACAGGUAGUCAAGAUGAGAAUUCUAAGGUGAGCGAGCGAACUCUCGUUAAGGAACUCGGCAAAAUGACCCCGUAACUUCGGGAGAAGGGGUGCUCUUUAGGGUUAACGCCCAGAAGAGCCGCAGUGAAUAGGCCCAAGCGACUGUUUAUCAAAAACACAGGUCUCUGCUAAACCGUAAGGUGAUGUAUAGGGGCUGACGCCUGCCCGGUGCUGGAAGGUUAAGAGGAGUGGUUAGCUUCUGCGAAGCUACGAAUCGAAGCCCCAGUAAACGGCGGCCGUAACUAUAACGGUCCUAAGGUAGCGAAAUUCCUUGUCGGGUAAGUUCCGACCCGCACGAAAGGCGUAACGAUUUGGGCACUGUCUCAACGAGAGACUCGGUGAAAUCAUAGUACCUGUGAAGAUGCAGGUUACCCGCGACAGGACGGAAAGACCCCGUGGAGCUUUACUGUAGCCUGAUAUUGAAAUUCGGCACAGCUUGUACAGGAUAGGUAGGAGCCUUUGAAACGUGAGCGCUAGCUUACGUGGAGGCGCUGGUGGGAUACUACCCUAGCUGUGUUGGCUUUCUAACCCGCACCACUUAUCGUGGUGGGAGACAGUGUCAGGCGGGCAGUUUGACUGGGGCGGUCGCCUCCUAAAAGGUAACGGAGGCGCUCAAAGGUUCCCUCAGAAUGGUUGGAAAUCAUUCAUAGAGUGUAAAGGCAUAAGGGAGCUUGACUGCGAGACCUACAAGUCGAG